UCAUGACCUGUCUUUGUAGCGGUUGAUUUCCUCCUCGCGCUUUUAUCAGUACACUAGUUGUUAUUGGCGCCAACCCGUUUGGGACGGACACAUUCAUCGGGUCCUGAAGAAAAAGGUGAAACCCUUUCUUGAUUUCCUUGAGUUUUCGGUAGUACAGUAGACUGUUACAAGGCGACCAAGUACAGUAGAUUAGACUCUUUUUGCUCCUAAUUCAGAGCAAAUCUGCAUCUUCAGUACAGUUCUCCGGUGUCUGCACUCUGAAGCAGAGAAUUGUCUUGAAGCUGCUCUGUUCAUUUCAGACUUUAGACUUGGAGGGAUGCAAGGAAUGUUUCUGAUUUACUUCUUUAUUUCUUUAUUGAGUUACUGCAUCUAGUCUUGUUCGUGAAAUUAGUAACAAGAAUUUUCUUCUCGGCAAGGCAUGACAAAUACCAUAGAUUUUCAGACCGAGAACAAAUUUACAUCCAACAACCUAAAUAACCAUAUCAUCAACUGAACUAAGUAUGAGUGGAACAGUAUUUACACAAAAUGGAGGAAGUGAUCAACAAGAUCACUGAUCAUCUCCCCAAAGGAAGUAUUCCUCUAUCUGAUCCUAAUUAAGAAGGACUAACACUAAGCAGUAACCAAAGCUAGCUAAGAAAUCAAGAACCCAAAAGAGAAGAGAAAGUGUAACGAUCAUGGAUUGGUUUGCAGGAUCAUUUCAUUUCAUGGGGAGGCUUCUGAAGUCGAGCAUGCCAGCCCUGAGGCCGAGGAAGUUGUUGCCGGCGCCGGCGCCGGCGCCGCCGCCGCUGC
rnacentral:lncRNA from 1 species